CCUACGGGAGGCAGCAGUGGGGAAUAUUGGGCAAUGGGCGCAAGCCUGACCCAGCAACGCCGCGUGAAGGAAGAAGGCUUUCGGGUUGUAAACUUCUUUUCUCAGGGACGAAGAAAGUGACGGUAGCUGAGGAAUAAGCCACGGCUAACUACGUGCCAGCAGCCGCGGUAAUACGUAGGUGGCAAGCGUUAUCCGGAUUUAUUGGGUGUAAAGGGCGUGUAGGCGGGAGCGCAAGUCAGAUGUGAAAACUAAGGGCUCAACCCUGAGCCUGCAUUUGAAACUGGGUUUCUUGAGUGCUGGGGAGGCAAUCGGAAUUCGGUGUGUAGCGGUGAAAUGCGUAGAUAUACGGAGGAACACCAGUGGCGAAGGCGGAUUGCUGGACAGUAACUGACGCUGAGGCGCGAAAGCGUGGGGAGCAAACAGGAUUAGAUACCCCUGUAGUC
rnacentral:rRNA from 1 species